GCGGAUGUGGUGGAAUUGGUAGACACGCACGCUUGAGGGGCGUGUGGCGAUAGCCUUGCGAGUUCGAGUCUCGCCAUCCGCA
rnacentral:tRNA from 1 species